UACCCAUGAGUUAGGAAUAACGGCUGGAAACGGUCGCUAAUACCAAAUACGCUCCGAUUUCAACUUCGGGGAAAGUGGCCUCUGCUUGCAAGCUACUGCUCGAUGGAUGAGUCCGCGUCCCAUUAGCUAGUUGGUGGGGUAACGGCCCACCAAGGCGACGGAUGGGUAGCCGGUCUGAGAGGAUGACCGGCCACACUGGGACUGGAACACGGCCCAGACUCCUACGGGAGGCAGCAGUGGGGAAUAUUGCGCAAUGGGCGAAAGCCUGACGCAGCGACGCCGCGUGAGGGGAAUGAAGGUCCUCGGAUCGUAAACCUCUGUCAGGAGGGAAGAACCGCCACGGUGCUAAUCAGCCGUGGUCUGACGGUACCUCCAAAGGAAGCACCGGCUAACUCCGUGCCAGCCGCCGC
rnacentral:rRNA from 1 species